UCAAGUUAUUAAGGGUGUAGGGCGGAUGCCUUGGCACUAGGAGCCGAUGAAAGACGUGAUAAGCUGCGAUAAGCUUCGGGGAGUGGCACAUACACUUUGAUCCGGAGAUUUCUGAAUGAGGAAACUCACUUGGAGUAAUGUCCAAGUAUCCAUAGGUGAAUACAUAGCCUAUGGAGGGGAACUCAGGGAACUGAAACAUCUAAGUACCUGAAGGAAGAGAAAGAAAUUCGAUUCCGCUAGUAGCGGCGAGCGAACGCGGAAGAGCCCAAACCAAGUCAGUUUACUGAUUUGGGGUUGCGGACAUAUCUUAAGGAAAGGUUAUUGCGAGUAGAAUAGGUCUGGAAAGACCAACCACAGAGGGUAAAAGUCCCGUAUACAAAGCCAAGAAAGUUCUUGAUAUGAUCCAGAGUACCACGAGACACGUGAAACCUUGUGGGAAGCAGGGGGGACCACCCCCCAAGGCUAAAUACUACCUAGUGACCGAUAGCGAAUAGUACCGUGAGGGAAAGGUGAAAAGAACCCCGGGAGGGGAGUGAAAUAGAACCUGAAACCCUACACUUACAAGCUGUGGGAGCGCAUUAUUCGCGUGACCGCGUACUUUUUGUAGAACGGGCCAACGAGUUACGUUAUGUGGCAAGGUUAAGCACUUAAGGUGUGGAGCCGAAGCGAAAGCGAGUCUUAACUGGGCGCCAUAGUCACAUGACGUAGACCCGAAACCGGGCGACCUACCCAUGAGCAGGAUGAAGCGAAAGUAAAAUUUCGUGGAGGUCCGAACCCACGUACGUUGAAAAGUGCGGGGAUGACUUGUGGGUAGCGGUGAAAUUCCAAUCGAGCUCGGAGAUAGCUGGUUCUCCCCGAAAUAGCUUUAGGGCUAGCCUUGAAUGUAGAGAUGUGGAGGUAGAGCACUGAAUGUCCUAGGGGGUAUUGCACUUACCGAAGACUAUCAAACUCCGAAUGCCAUUAUCUUUUGUUCAGGAGUCAGACUAUGGGUGAUAAGGUUCAUAGUCGAAAGGGAAAGAGCCCAGACCGUCAGCUAAGGUCCCUAAAUGUAUGUUAAGUGGUAAAGGAUGUGGGAUUGCACAGACAACCAGGAUGUUGGCUUAGAAGCAGCCACUCAUUUAAAGAGUGCGUAAUAGCUCACUGGUCGAGUGAUCCUGCGCCGAAGAUUUCCGGGGCUAAAACAUACUACCGAAGCUACGGCAUCAUAUGAUGAUGGGUAGGGGAGCUUCCCAUGCAGGCUGAAGCGAUACCGUAAGGAGUCGUGGACAGUAUGGGAGAGAGAAUGUUGGCAUGAGUAGCGAGAUGAGGGUGAGAAUCCCUCAGGCCGUAAACCCAAGGUUUCCAGGGGAAGGUUCGUCCUCCCUGGGUUAGUCGGGACCUAAGCUCAGGCCGAAAGGCGUAGGCGAUGGACAACAGGUUGAGAUUCCUGUACUACCGAUAAUCGUUUGAGAGAAGGGAUGACACAGUAGGAUAAGCUGAGCACACUGUUGGUUAUGUGUGUCUAAGCGUUGAGGCAGACUAGAUAGGCAAAUCCGUUUAGUUAAUGCUGGGGCGCGAUGGGGAGCGAAACUAAGUAGCGAAGCAGCUGAUUUCACACUGUCGAGAAAAGUCUCUAUCGAGAUUAAAGGUACCCGUACCGCAAACCGACACAGGUGGGUGAGGAGAGUAUCCUAAGGCCAGCGAGAGAACUGUUGUUAAGGAACUCGGCAAAAUGACCCCGUAACUUAGGGAUAAGGGGUGCCCCAGCAAUGGGGCCGCAGAGAAUUGGCCCAAGCGACUGUUUACCAAAAACAUAGGUUUCUGCUAAGUCGCAAGACGAUGUAUAGGAGCUGACGCCUGCCCGGUGCUGGAAGGUUAAGGGGAUCUGUUAGAGCAAUCGAAGCAGUGAUCUUAAGCCCCAGUAAACGGCGGCCGUAACUAUAACGGUCCUAAGGUAGCGAAAUUCCUUGUCGGGUAAGUUCCGACCCGCACGAAAGGCGUAAUGAU
rnacentral:rRNA from 1 species